AGUGAACGCUGGCGGUAGGCCUAACACAUGCAAGUCGAACGGCAGCACAGUAAGAGCUUGCUCUUACGGGUGGCGAGUGGCGGACGGGUGAGGAAUACAUCGGAAUCUACUUUUUCGUGGGGGAUAACGUAGGGAAACUUACGCUAAUACCGCAUACGACCUACGGGUGAAAUCAGGGGAUCUUCGGACCUUGCGCGAUUGAAUGAGCCGAUGUCGGAUUGGCUAGUUGGCGGGGUAAAGGCCCACCAAGGCGACGAUCCGUAGCUGGUCUGAGAGGAUGAUCGGCCACACUGGAACUGAGACACGGUCCAGACUCCUACGGGAGGCAGAGGUGGGGAAUAUUGGACAAUGGGCGCAAGCCUGAUCCAGCCAUACCGCGUGGGUGAAGAAGGCCUUCGGGUUGUAAAGCCCUUUUGUUGGGAAAGAAAAGCAGCAGGUUAAUACCCCGCUGUUCUGACGGUACCCAAAGAAUAAGCACCGGCUAACUUCGUG
rnacentral:rRNA from 1 species